GCUGAAGCCACGCCCCCUUCCGGUUGCUCGCCCUGGUUUGUUACCGGUGUUUAGAACUUCCGGCGUGUUAUCUUGAUUGGCGUCGGGUAGCUACGUUUAGUGUUACCAACGAGGCUGAGCACCUGUGGCAGGGAACGUGGUGUCGUCGGUGGUGGUAUCCCUCCCCGUGUGAUGUGUGAACCCUGGGUAUUUUUCAUUUAAUCCAUCGUGUGUGUGUGUGUGUGUGUGUGUGUGUGUGUGUGUGUGUGUGUGUGUGUGUGUGUGUGUGUGUGUGUGUGUGUGUGUGUGUGUGUGUGUGAUUUUAUUCACCUGGUGACCUCUCCCUGGGCCCUGUUCCUCCCCUCCGGUGAUACAUCCGGCCACGUGGUAAGCAACAGCCUCUGCCCCUUUGCACCUCC
ensembl:lncRNA